AUUGAACGCUGGCGGCAGGCUUAACACAUGCAAGUCGAGCGGAGACUUCGGUCUUAGCGGCGAACGGGUGAGGAAUGCCUGGGAAUCUGCCUGUUAGUGGGGGAUAACGAAUCGAAAGGUUCGCUAAUACCGCAUACGUCCUACGGGAGAAAGCAGGGGACCUUCGGGCCUUGCGCUAACAGAUGAGCCCAGGUCGGAUUAGCUAGUAGGUGGGGUAAAGGCUCACCUAGGCGACGAUCCGUAGCUGGUCUGAGAGGAUGAUCAGCCACACUGGAACUGAGACACGGUCCAGACUCCUACGGGAGGCAGCAGUGGGGAAUAUUGGACAAUGGGCGAAAGCCUGAUCCAGCCAUGCCGCGUGUGUGAAGAAGG
rnacentral:rRNA from 1 species